UUCUGAUGGCAGGAGCUGCAGGUACACAGGGGAUGGAGAUCUACUGAUUUACCUUCUCAAAGUAUUCUCUGGAAGCAGUUGGAUGUGGCUUGAUCUGAAAGUACGAAAACAUUUAAUCAGGUAACGUGAUGUCUGGGGCCAACGAGAAUGACAGCAGGGAUCGGCAACUGAGCACCGACAGCAGGCCGGGGGCUGCUCUAAGCUCUGUUAACUCACUGCCUCCUCCCAACCAUCCUGGAGGUCCCACGGUCAUCACCUUUUUACAGGAGAGGGAACUGGAGGCACACAAGGAUUAGGGAGCUUGUUCCAAGUCACAGCUAGAAAGGGAUGGAGGCACGACUGAUACCCAGCUAAUACUGUAAACCCUUCUUUUCCUAAUUCUUGAAGUAUUCUCUUACUUGAAGAUUAAUUUCUGUAGCAUAAAAAUGGAAGAGUAAUAAAAAGACUUUUUGAAUAA